AGUGGCGGACGGGUGAGUAACGCGUGAGAAUCUGCCUUGGGGUCGGGGACAACCACUGGAAACGGUGGCUAAUACCGGAUAAGCCGAUUGGUGAAAGAUUUAUUGCCCGAAGAGGAGCUCGCGUCUGAUUAGCUAGUUGGUGAGGUAAGAGCUCACCAAGGCAGCGAUCAGUAGCUGGUCUGAGAGGACGAUCAGCCACACUGGGACUGAGACACGGCCCAGACUCCUACGGGAGGCAGCAGUGGGGAAUCUUCCGCAAUGGGCGAAAGCCUGACGGAGCAAGACCGCGUGAGGGAGGAAGGCUCUUGGGUUGUAAACCUCUUUUCUCAGGGAAGAAGCUCUGACGGUACCUGAGGAAUCAGCCUCGGCUAACUCCGUGCCAGCAGCCGCGGUAAUACGGAGGAGGCAAGCGUUAUCCGGAAUUAUUGGGCGUAAAGCGUCCGCAGGUGGCGAUUCAAGUCUGCUGUCAAAGCACGGGGCUUAACUCCGUAAAGGCAGUGGAAACUGAAUAGCUAGAGUGCCGUAGGGGUAGAGGGAAUUCCCGGUGUAGCGGUGAAAUGCGUAGAGAUCGGGAAGAACAUCGGUGGCGAAAGCGCUCUACUGGACGGCAACUGACACUCAGGGACGAAAGCUAGGGGAGCGAAUGGGAUUAGAUACCCC
rnacentral:rRNA from 1 species